ACUAUCUAAGGUCGGUCCUUUAGAUAGUGAGUUUUGGACGUGUCAAAUAGAUGGCGUGAAAGAAUAUUGUGUUGAUAUUGCUUAUGGCGGCGGCUCGUUGUCAACAGUUCAGCUACAGCUAUUUUCUUCGGCAAUUACAAAGGAAUUCUUAUGAAAAAAUGUGUAAGGGGCAUGCAGCCUAGUGUCAACUAUUGUGUUAUAAAUCCUAGUAUUCUACUGAAUAUUUCAUCCAAAUGACAGAGAUUCAUCAUAAUUAUCGGCUGAUUUUAUUGCACUUGCAAGAUCACCUAGAAUGGACCAAUCUCUCAUUCCAUCUUCUAGAGAACCUUGGAUAACUGAUUGGUGGUUUUGUGUGUUUCUAAUUUAACAGAUUUAUGAGAAGUCAUGUCCUUUGAAGAAAAGGGACAAUGACUAUACAGUCAACAAGGUCCUUUGUUUGGUAACCCGCUGGCUGCCACCCUUGAACAUCCCUUUUUACUUCCUUAAACAGGCCCUCUUGAUUUGAGGGUAACCCCUUCGCUAAUUAUCAUGGAAUUCAUCCAUUGGUGAAAACUGAUAAGAGAAAGCUGUAAUUCAAGGCUGAUAGUUGUUAGAUGUCUUAGCCGGAAGCCUACUCGUAUUCUCGUAACAACUGUU